rnacentral:lncRNA from 10 species
AAAAUCUUGGAAGAAGAACACUUCUUUGAUGACGUUGUCAGAGAGAAAUGGAUGUUCUCCUAAAUGGGAAGCCUUAAUUCUGUGUGUAAUUUAUAAAGCCAUGGAGAAGAGGAGACAGAGUGUGCAAGGGAAUGAAGAAAAGGAACAAGACUAUUUUCAAAUCACCCAUGGCACUACUAGAAAUGUAUUUCAGCAAAAGGACUGGCUGAUUUUAUGAUUCCUGUGUCCACCACAGCCCUCUAAUUUUUACAUAGGUACCCCACAUCUCUCUAGAUUUCAGGAAGACUAUUAUCCUUCGACUUUAGCUUUCUGAUGGGUUCACAAAAAGCCAUUAGUGUGCUGUUGGUCCAGCUUUUUUCUGUUGCAAAUAUGAGAGCUACAGUUCUGAGAUGAAACCACAGAAAUUGUUGCAAUGUGUUUAAAAAUGAGAUAGACGCCGGACACGGUUGCUCGGGCAGAUCACGACGUCAAGAGAUCAAGACCAUCCUGGCCAACAUGGUGAAACCCCGUCUCUACUAAAAACACAAAAAUUAGCUGGGAGUGGUGGCGCACGCCUGUAGUCCCAGCUACUCAGAAGGCUGAGGCAGGAGAAUCACUUGAACCUGGGAGGCGGAGGUUGCAGUGAGCCGAGAUUGCGCCACUGCACUCCAACCUGGCAACAGGGU